GGAACGACCGUGAACAACCUGCCUUCGAGUUGGGGAUAGCUUACUGGAACGGGAAGAUAAUACCGAAUAACAUCAUUUGGUCGCAUGACCGGAUGAUCAAAGCAGCAAUGCGCUUGAAGAGGGGUUCGCGUCCCAUUAGCUAGUUGGUGAGGUAACGGCCCACCAAGGCGAUGAUGGGUAGCUGGUCUGAGAGGACGAUCAGCCACAUUGGGACUGAGAUACUGCCCAGACUCCUACGGGAGGCUGCAGUCGAGAAUUUUGGGCAAUGGACGAAAGUCUGACCCAAGCAAUGCCGCGUGCGGGAUGAAGGUCUUCGGAUUGUAAACCGCUGUCAAGUCGGGACGAAACAUGACGGUACCUCUGGAGGAAGCCACGGCUAACUACGUGCCAGCCGCAGC
rnacentral:rRNA from 1 species